rnacentral:rRNA from 1 species
UACGUAGGGUGCGAGCGUUAAUCGGAAUUACUGGGCGUAAAGCGUGCGCAGGCGGCUUUGCAAGACAGAUGUGAAAUCCCCGGGCUCAACCUGGGAACUGCAUUUGUGACUGCACGGCUAUAGUGUGUCAGAGGGGGGUAGAAUUCCACGUGUAGCAGUGAAAUGCGUAGAGAUGUGGAGGAAUACCGAUGGGCGAAGGCAGCCCCCCUGGGAUAACACUGACGCUCAUGCACGAAAGCGUGGGGAGCAAACAGG